ensembl:ncRNA lncRNA:CR44260 long non-coding RNA:CR44260
AUUACCAGUUCCCUCACACUGGCAACGUGUCAAAAUCGACACCGGCACAAGCUGCGUACCCGCGAACACCCCUUAUCAGUCGCCCACCCCGCUGAAACAUCCCUUCCCCGGGAUUACACCGUUAUACGUGUCCUGGGAUGCCCGCGUACGUGUCGAAUUCCAAAUAGCAACGCCAGUCAUAACUGUAAGACAAUGUCUGCGUGUGAUGUGAUGACGGGUACGUUGUCACGCAGGCGAAUGGGAUUCCGGAAGGCAAGUUGGACGGGGGAGGACGUGUAGGUGAUGCAAAGCAGCACUAGUUAGUAUGUCAUGUGCAUGUUGGCAUACUUCGUUCGAGACUUACCUUUAGGCAGCCUACGCACAGUCCUUUGGGCUCCUUCUCACACUAUUAUAUACCCAUCCUGAAGAAGCGCUACAACGUGUUCCUCCAAGGUUUCUUUGUUGAUGUUGUUGUCGUCUUGGGCUUGGUCUUGGUGGCAGAAAGAAAGGAUUUCAAAAACAAGUCAACCCAGUCAAGAAACACCAAAAUUGAAUUUAAAGCAAGAGAGAGCUCCUAUCAAACACCCGUUAAAAGGCCAGAAAGAUGGAAAUAUGAAUCUAGAAAAAGUACUGCUUUUUGGAGUGCACAUUUGGUUACAUGUUGGCUAAGGUGCACUUGGUCAAGUAGUUAGUAGUCAAGUAGAAGUAGAUGUCGGCUUUUAUACAAACUAAUC